rnacentral:tRNA from 1 species
CAGGGAGACAACAAAAUGUUUAAUAUUAUUUUGUCACCUUAGGUCGAUCGGUAUCUCACAUUCUUAAUUUAUUAAGAAUUUCAUUCCCUAAGUUUUUCUAGGUCACACCCAUUAUUUUCCUGGGCCAUUAGCUCAGGUGGUUAGAGCGCACCCCUGAUAAGGGUGAGGUCCCUGGUUCAAGUCCAGGAUGGCCCAUAUCUCCAUGUUGGGGGUAUAGCUCAGUUGGUAGAGCGCCUGCUUUGCAAGCAGGAUGUCAGCGGUUCGAGUCCGCUUACCUCCACUGAUUACCACCUCUUCCAUAAAUUUGGAUAAAGGAAACUUUUGAGUUGUGAUCAUAUCCUGAACGAAUCUAGCUUCCUAAUAAAAUUAUUAAGAUGCUGGACUCAUUGAAUUAAUUUCAUUGUUUUCAGAGAACCUUGACAACUGCAUAGAUUAUUUAUAAAGACAAUAAGCAUCUUUAAAUGAUGCAGAUUUAUUAUUUGUGCGAAGGCAUUAAUAACAAUUCUAUUAAGCUGAUGCUUCAA